AGCCCGAGAAGCCUUCAAAACGUAUAAAUCUUUCGCUUUUUACUAAAGAUUUCCGUGGAAGAGAACACUUAAAUGAGUCUAAAUAUAUUUUUGAAGGCUGAAGCCUCACUUUCGGGUGAGGU